AUGGCCAAUAUCUGCAAAACAUACCCGCUAAUAAAAAUUAUUAAUUACUCAUUUAUUGAUCUUCCCACACCAUUUAACAUUUCUAUAUGAUGAAACUUCGGCUCACUUCUUGGUGCUUGCCUAACCCUCCAGAUCAUCACUGGACUGUUUUUGGCCAUGCACUACACAUCAGACACCUCAACUUCCUUCUCUUCAGUUGCUCAUAUUAGCCGAGAUGUAAACUACGGCUGAAUGGUCUGCUAUUUUCAUGCUAAUGGCGCUUCCAUAUUUUUCAUCUGCCUCUUCUUACACAUUGGCUGAGGUUUAUACUAUGGAUCAUUUACAUUUCUAGAAACCUGAAAUAUCGGCAUUAUCCUCCUACUCACAACUAUGGCAACAGCAUUCAUAGGCUACGUGCUCCCAUAAGGCCAGAUAUCUUUCUGAGGCACUACAGUAGUUACAAAUCUACUAUCAGUGAUUUCAUAUAUUGGAACUGACCUUGGGCAUUGAAUCUGAGGUGGAUUCUCAGUUGGCAAAGCCACCCUUACAUGAUUCUUUGCUUUCCAUUUCAUCUUACCCUUCAUCAUUACAGCCCUAGCAGCUGUUCACCUUUUACUCCUACAUGAAACAGGAUCUAAUAACCCUUUAGGGGUUUCAUCAGACCCAGGCAAAAUUACCUUCCACCCCUACCACACAAUCAAAGAUAUUUUAGGUUUAAUUUUUCUCCUCCUCCUUCGAAUAACUCUAGUACUAUUUUCGCCUGACCUCCUGGGUGACCCAGAUAACUACGCUUUAGCCAACCCCCUCAGUACCCAACCCCACAUUAAACCAGAGUGGUACUUUUUGUUUGCACAGGCAAUCUUACCAUCCAUCCCUCACAAACUAGGAGGCAUACUGGCCCUUGUAUUCUCCAUUCUCAUUCUAACAGUUAUUCCCAUGCUUCACACGUCUAAACAACAAAGCAUAAUAUUCCGACUGUUGAGUAAAUGGCUAUUCUGAAUCUUAGUGGCCAACCUAUUUACACUCACAUGAAUUGGAGGGCAGCCAGUCAAACACCCUUUUAUUGUCGUCGGACAGAUGGCAUCUAUUAUGUACUUCUCUACCAUUCUCACCCCUAUACUACUCACCGGCCUAAUUGAAAAUAAGCUACUUAA
rnacentral:lncRNA from 1 species